GCGUGUGCAGGAACAGAGCAAACUUGGGCGCUUAUGGCGACGGUGAUGGAUCCUGUAAAUUCAAGAUUACAAUAAUUGUUUCUGAAUUCUAGAUUUACAAAAAGAGGAUAUGUGAUUCCCCAAUAGCCCUGUUGUAAUUCAGUGACUAUGAACCUAUUUAAUUGAGAUAGUGACUAUGAACCUAUCUGAAAUCAAACUACAGAUUCCAGUAACAGUUACACUAAAUCAUUUUCUCGUCGGGCUUAACACGAGACAAUCCCUGCUACAGUUACACCUAUAAUCUAAUUAAAGCCGAAUCUCUGAUCAGUGCACAAGCUAUCCACAUUAACGCUAUCAAUGCAUCAGUCGGAGUUUGCAAUCAAUGGUUCCAGACACCAACUACUUUCCUUGUCCACCUUAGCAUCGAGUGAUACCAUGUCAGGUAAUGGGACAGCAUCACCAUGCUGAUUUCUUAACGCAUGGGCGGCACUUUACUAGAACUCUAGAAGUAUGUAGUUAUUGUAUACAUGUAAGCGCUAUUUAUCAUCUUAAGGUGAAGCUUUACCCAUUCAGUAAUUAGAAAAGGGCCUUGUUGUUUGAAUUACCCAUUCAGUAAUUUAUGAGAAUUUUGGUUUAUGAGAAUUUUGGUGUACAUGCGAUUUAAUGCUUUCCUAUAUUUAUUUAGAAAAGGGCGCUAUGUUUAUCAUGCUUUCCUAUAUUUAUUUAGAAAAGGGCGCUAUGUUUAUCAUGCUUACCAAUAUCUUGGUGUUCAUGUGAUUUAAUGCCAGUUGUAUAUUUAUGAGAAUUUUGGUUUAAUUUGUAGGAUUCUGGCUCUCAUCAAGUGACUCCUCCCCCUCACGCUGACUUUGUGGACAGAUGUCUCAAUUCUAGUGGUGGAGCUACGAACAACAAUCCGAUGUCCUGAUCGAGAGCGAUAGAGCUAAUGUUUGAACUUGUGAACUAAAAAUAUGAACUAUGGUUGUGAACUUAUGUAUUUGGACUUAUGUGAAUUUGUGAACUUAUGUAUUUGGACUUGUGUGAAUUUGUGAACUUAUGUAUUUGGACUUGUGUGAAUUUGUG
rnacentral:lncRNA from 1 species